AUGGACCAUUCCAUCCCUUUUUCACGUUCAUAUGCAUCGGAUUCGGAUGACGAAGGUCCCGAUGAACAAGUUGAUGAGGAGGGGUUCACGGUGAAGGAGGCCGAAGCUUUCGAGAAGGUAUUCGGUCGGGAUCACAAGACACCAUUGUUCAAGGAUGUUAGUCUCGCGGAUGAAGCCGUUGUGGAUGGUGGCAAAUCUAUAUCUCUUGGGGUUAGGCCAAGCUCUCAC
rnacentral:rRNA from 1 species